rnacentral:rRNA from 1 species
UAUCUCUGUAGAGUCUGCAUAUCAAUAAGCGGAGGAAAAGAAACUAACAAGGAUUCCCCUAGUAACGGCGAGUGAAGCGGGAAGAGCUCAAAUUUGAAAUCUUCAAGGUUUGACCUUGACGAAUUGUAGUUUAAAGAAGUGUUUUCGGUUAGAGGAGUAGUAAAAGUUCUUUGGAAUAGGACAUCAUAGAGGGUGAGAAUCCCGUAUUUGACUAUUCUUUCUAGCUUUGUGAUACACUUUCAAAGAGUCGGAUUGUUUGGGAAUGCAGUCCAAAAUGGGUGGUAAAUUUCAUCUAAAGCUAAAUAUUGGCGAGAGACCGAUAGCGAACAAGUACCGUGAGGGAAAGAUGAAAAGAACUUUGAAAAGAGAGUUAAACAGUACGUGAAAUUGUCAAAAGGGAAGCGUUUGACACCAGUGUUGUUUUUCCGAAAAUCAAUUAAAAAUUGAUUCAUGCCAGGUUGUAUUGACCUUAUCAGCUUGCAAUUUGGUUUUGGGUCUCUUUUUGAUGCACUUUUCGGUUAACAAGUCAACAUCAAUUUCCUUUGCUGUAAAAAGGUAAGAGGAAGGUGGCUUCAAUUUCGGUUGAAGUGUUUAUAGCCUUUUAUCUCUGCAGUCGGGGAGAUUGAGGUCUGCAGCGUAGAUCCUUCGGGGCUAGAUACAUUUAUGCUAAGUUAUAGCUUUUCAUAGACAACUUGUUGACUAUGUUUAGUCAUGUAGCUUACUCGUAAGUGCUAUUUUACCUACGCUUAGGAUGUUGA